UACAAGCUCAAUAAUUGCAAUAUUUUUCCUUUUAAUCAUCAGGCCAACCCAUUUAUGACUGUGCCAACGGAAUGAGCACCAGCACGGUCAAAACUCCACCUGUGACUACGUGCCAAGCUACCAUGAAAAUCCAAUCGGACACAAGAAACAUUUCCUUACUCAUCAGUCAAACUGAUCAAGAUAUGUUUUUCAACAGGGAAUGGACAGGAGUGCCUUUGUGGUAUACAUUGCUGCGUUGGGGUUCUUUUGCUUCCUUACUGAUAUUUCUGUGCGUAGUACUCAAAUGUACAAAAGCAAGACACAAACGUGCCAAGAAGAAGAGGAGAGUUCAUGUGAGGCAAACGCCCCGACACCAACGCCACCAACAUCUCCGGGCCAUGCUUGCCCUUACCGAGAGGUGAAAAAAGAGGAAUGAUCUGCAUCUACAUGUUUGUUUUCAAAUAAUAAGCUACUAUAAAUAUUGUAUGUGUUACAUAAUAUAUUAGAAUGAAAUAGCUUUAAUGAAGUGAAGCAACUUUUACAAUGCCAGCUAGGAAAGAUAAGCAUGACUAAUUGGAAAACAGGAAACCAGUAAUUGCUCCGUGAUGCCAGUUGAACAUUCUUUAUAUGUUUGAAUGUAAAUUUACUUUUAUCAGAUCAAGCAAAAUACAGUUUGCCUGAGUGCUAUUUCCAUUCCAUUCUUCCAUGUAAACCAUCGAAAUGCCAAACCCACAAAGAAAACAAGGUCAUAUUGAAGACCAUGCAAAUAAUUGACUUUAUUUUGAUACAUGAUUUGCGAGACAGUUCAAUAAAGUGUGUGUGUGUGUGUUGUGUGUGUGUGUGUGUGUGU